AGCAGUAGCCGCGGUAAUACGUAGGUGGCAAGCGUUGUCCGGAAUUAUUGGGCGUAAAGCGCGCGCAGGCGGAUCAGUCAGUCUGUCUUAAAAGUUCGGGGCUUAACCCCGUGAUGGGAUGGAAACUGCUGAUCUAGAGUAUCGGAGAGGAAAGUGGAAUUCCUAGUGUAGCGGUGAAAUGCGUAGAUAUUAGGAAGAACACCAGUGGCGAAGGCGACUUUCUGGACGAAAACUGACGCUGAGGCGCGAAAGCCAGGGGAGCGAACGGGAUUAGAGACCCCUGUAGUCCCUGUCUCUUAUACA
rnacentral:rRNA from 1 species